GAUACCCUGGUAGUCCACGCUGUAAACGAUGAUGACUAACCGUCGGCGAUACACAGUCGGUGGCCAAGCGAAAGCGAUAAGUCAUCCACCUGGGGAGUACGGCCGCAAGGCUGAAACUCAAAGGAAUUGACGGGGGCCCGCACAAGCGGAGGAACAUGUGGUUUAAUUCGAUGAUACGCGAGGAACCUUACCCGGGCUCGAACGGCAGCUGAAUAUUCCAGAGAUGGGAUAGUCUUCGGACAGUUGUCGAGGUGCUGCAUGGUUGUCGUCAGCUCGUGCUGUGAGGUGUCGGCUUAAGUGCCAUAACGAGCGCAACCCUUGCCUUCAGUUGCCAUCAGGUUAAGCUGGGGACUCUGGAGGGACUGCCACCGCAAGGUGCGAGGAAGGGGGGGAUGACGUCAAAUCAGCACGGCCCUUACGUCCGGGGCGACACACGUGUUACAAUGGCAGGUACAGAGGGGUGCUACCGGGCGACCGGAUGCCGAUCUCGAAAACCUGUCCCAGUUCGGACUGGAGUCUGCAACCCGACUCCACGAAGUUGGAUUCGCUAGUAAUCGCGCAUCAGCCAUGGCGCGGUGAAUACGUUCCCGGGCCUUGCACACACCGCCCGUCAAG
rnacentral:rRNA from 1 species